rnacentral:misc_RNA from 1 species
AAGUCGUAACAAGGUUUCCGUAGGUGAACCUGCGGAAGGAUCAUUACCGUGCUCUGGGUCCCCUCGGGGGCCCGACACCCCACCCUUUGUAGUUACUUGACUAUCGUUGCUUCGGCGGGACGGCCCCCCCUCGGGGUGGCCGCCGGGUCCCUAAGCGCCCGGAGAGCGCCCGCCGGAGGACCACAAACACUAGCCCUUUGAACGAGUACGUCAGAGUAAAGAAUUUAAUAAUUCAAAA